UGGAACGCAAUGAUAAGAAAAGUACAUUUAAGCGGAAUCUUUACAGAGAGCCCUGGUAGCUGAAAAAGGGAAGAGAAAGCUGAAUGGAAAAUGGUCUUUGAGUGGAACAAUUGAACGUUCUAGUGAGUUUUUCAUAGAACUUUAGGUUGUUACGGGUGCACCCGUUACAGUGCUACAGUAUGGCGAGUAGUUUUUUGCUUUAGUACUGGAAAAGGUGGGAACUGUGAAGUUUUCAUAAACCAAGGUGGUAACACGAAAUCAAUGAUUCCGUCCUUGCA
rnacentral:ncRNA from 1 species